rnacentral:tRNA from 1 species
GCAGUCGUGGCCGAGUGGUUAAGGCGAUGCACUAGAAAUCCACAGGUUCGAUCCUGUCGACUGCG